GCGGCACAGCGAAAGCGUUAAGUAAUCCACCUGGGGAGUACGCCGGCAACGGUGAAACUCAAAGGAAUUGACGGGGGCCCGCACAAGCGGAGGAACAUGUGGUUUAAUUCGAUGAUACGCGAGGAACCUUACCCGGGUUUGAACGUAGGGAGACAGGAGUGGAAACAUUCUAUUCAGCAAUGACUGCCUACGAGGUGCUGCAUGGUUGUCGUCAGCUCGUGCCGUGAGGUGUCGGCUUAAGUGCCAUAACGAGCGCAACCCUUAUUUCCAGUUACUAACAGGUGAAGCUGAGGACUCUGGAGAGACUGCCAGCGUAAGCUGUGAGGAAGGUGGGGAUGACGUCAAAUCAGCACGGCCCUUACAUCCGGGGCGACACACGUGUUACAAUGGUAAGGACAAAGGGCAGCUACCGGGCGACCGGAUGCGAAUCUCUAAACCUUAUCUCAGUUCGGAUCGGAGUCUGCAACUCGACUCCGUGAAGCUGGAUUCGCUAGUAAUCGCGCAUCAGCCAUGGCGCGGUGAAUACGUUCCCGGGCCUUGUACACACCGCCCGUCAAGCCAUGGGAGCCGGGGGUACCUGAAGUUCGUAACCGCAAGGAUCGACCUAGGGUAAAACUGGUGACUGGGGCUAAGUCGUAACAAGGUAACCA
rnacentral:rRNA from 1 species